rnacentral:rRNA from 1 species
AACGCACGCUGGCGGCAGGCCUAACACAUGCAAGUCGAGCGAGGACUUCGGUCCUAGCGGCGGACGGGUGAGUAACGCGUGGGAACGUGCCCCUUGGUACGGAAUAGCCCCGGGAAACUGGGAGUAAUACCGUAUGAGCUCUACGGAGGAAAGGUUUAUCGCGAAGGGAUCGGCCCGCGUUUGAUUAGGUAGUUGGUGGGGUAAUGGCCGACCAAGCCGACGAUCCAUAGCUGGUUUGAGAGGACGAUCAGCCACACUGGGACUUAGACACGACCCAGUCUCCUACGGGGGACGGCGGUGGGGAAUCGUAGACAGUGGGCGCGAGUCUGGUCUGACCAUGCCACGUGGGCGAUGAAGGCCUUAGGGUUGUAAAGCUCUUUCAGCGAGGAAGAUAACGACUGUACUCGCAGAAGAAGCCCCGGCUAACUCCGUGCCAGCCGCCGCCGUAACAC